CUUGUUUUGAAUCCCAUCUGUGAAAUAUAGAUACAUCAAUUGGAACUCAUUUUUCCGUAUUUCUCGAGUGUAGAGCAUCUCAGCUAAUCCGAAUAAAGAUUUUCUGUCUUCGACCAUUUGAGUUGGAUUAUUUGGAAAAUUGCAGAUAAUAUCAUAAUUUUGCUGAUUAUUUUGGAUAUUUAUAUCACGUUUUGGAAUCAAGCAGAAUUUCCGUCUUGUACGGGAUAAAAAUUCUACAUACUCUGAUAGAAAUUUCUAUAAAAGCCGCCCUCCAUCUUAGGCUUUCAAUUCUUUCAAUUCUUUCAAUUCUUCUGAAUAUUUUACUGAUUCGAUAUAUAAGUGGAUCAACCUGAAUUAUUGGCGUGUUGGUUGAUGCAAAGACAUCCCUUGGACAUAGGCACCCCCAUUGCCUUAUACUGAGGGUUGGAAUAACUUCUAACCGGUUGGGAGCGAACCGAAUUCAACAUUUCCAUCAACUGGACUUCUCCCUCUGGAUGAGUACAACCCUUUUAUUUUCAUUAGAGAAAGUUACCAAAAUUAAUCAUUUAUUUUGAAUAUAUUGAAUAACCAUAUUGGACCAUAUAUAGACUCUGAAAUUUAACUAAAAUCCUACAGUUUAUUAUUUUAUUGUGAAUACCAUUAUCUGUGAAAUUCUCUGUAAAUGAAAGCCGGCAUUCAUUCUUUUAAAUUAUUGUUCAUACUUAAGUGCACUCAAUUCAAAUUCAUUAAUUACAUUUCAUAUCAUAAAUAUAACGCUUUUCUCUUCAAGUACUUAGUAAUUUGGUAGUUUUGGAAAUUUUACAGAAAAGUAGGAAUCUUGUUUAUAUUCGAUUGAUAUUAUUAAAACUAUCUGGCGCCCCCCUAUUUAUUGAGCUGUUCAUUUUAAAUUAAGAAAAAAAUUAUAGAAUCCACCCCUUCUCCACUAGAGCUAAGCCGCGAGCUUCAUUUUACCUUAUUUAUGUUACAUCUAGAGAAUAUUUGAAAAUAAUU